UACGUAGGCGCAGCAUUGUUCGGAGUUACUGGGCGUAAAGGGUGCGUAGGCGGUCCUAUAAGUAUGGUGUGAAAUCUCCCGGCUUAACUGGGAGGGUGCGCUAUAGACUGUGGGACUAGAGUGUGGGAGAGGAAAGUGGAAUUCCUGGUGUAGCGGUGAAAUGCGUAGAUAUCAGGAGGAACACCGGUGGUGUAAACGGCUUUCUAGACCAUAACUGACGCUGAGGCACGAAAGCGUGGGUAGCAAACAGG
rnacentral:rRNA from 1 species